rnacentral:rRNA from 1 species
CCUGGCUCAGCGCGUACGCUGGCGGCAUGGCUAAAACAUGCAAGUCGAACGCGAAAGCACUUCGGUGCAAGUAGAGUGGCGGAAGGGCGAGUAAUGCGUUCCUAACGUGCCCCUGGGUGAGGGAUAGCAUCGGGAAACCGGUGGUAAUACCUCAUGAUCUCAUCGUGCUGCAUGGUGUGAUGAGCAAAGGUUUACUGCCCAGGGAUCGGGAAACGUCCUAUCAGCUUGUUGGUGAGGUAACGGCUCACCAAGGCUUAGACGGGUAGCGGGUGUGAGAGCAUGACCCGCCGCAUCGGGACUGAGACACUGCCCGGACUCCUACGGGAGGCUGCGGCAACGAAUAUUCCGCAAUGCGCGAAAGCGUGACGGAGCAAUGCCGCGUGCAGGAUGAAGCCCCUCGGGGUGUAAACUGCUGUCAGGGGUCACCAAGAUCUGAGGAACCCCAGAGGAAGGGCCGGCUAACUUCGUGCCAGCAGCCGCGGUAAUACGAAGGGCCCGAGCGUUGCGCGGAAUCACUGGGCUUAAAGCUGCGUAGGCGGGCUUGCAAGUGCUUUGUGAAAUCCCCCGGCUCAACCGUGGAAUGGCUUGGCAGACUGCAGGUCUUGAGGUCGAAAGAGGCUGCCGGAACUGUAGGUGUAGCGGUGAAAUGCGUAGAUAUCUACAGGAACGCCAAAGGAGUAAUCAGGCAGCUGGUUCGAUUCUGACGCUGAGGCACGAAAGCGUGGGGAGCGAACGGGAUUAGAUACCCCGUUAGUCCACGCCGUAAACGAUGUGCACUAGUUCCUGGAGAUUUUGACGUCUUCGGGGACGACGUAAAAACAUUAAGUGCACCGCCUGGGGAGUACGGUCGCAAGAUUAAAACUCAAAGGAAUUGACGGGGGCUCACACAAGCGGUGGAGCAUGUGGCUUAAUUCGAGGCAACGCGAAGAACCUUAUCCUGGGCUUGACAUGUAUGGAUUAACUCCCCGAAAGGGGAGCCACACUCUUUGAGUGGAACGUACACAGGUGCUGCAUGGCUGUCGUCAGCUCGUGCCGUGAGGUGUUAGGUUAAGUCCUUCAACGAGCGAAACCCUUGCCGUUAGUUGCCAGCGCGUUAUGUCGGGGACUCUAGAGAGACUGCCGGUGUUAAACCGGAGGAAGGUGGGGAUGACGUCAAGUCCUCAUGGCCUUUAUGCCCUGGGCUGCACACGUGCUACAAUGCGGCGUACAGAGCGAAGCAAUAUCGUAAGGUGGAGCAAAUCGCACAAAGCGCCGCUCAGUUCGGAUUGUGGUCUGCAACUCGACCACAUGAAGCUGGAAUCGCUAGUAAUCGCGUAUCAGCUACGACGCGGUGAAUACGUUCCUGAGCCUUGUACACACCGCCCGUCAAGUCAUGGAAGCCGGUAGUGCCCGAAGUGGCCCUGAUUCAGGGGUCCCUACGGCAAGCUCGGUGACUGGGACGAAGUCGUAACA